CCGCCCGCCCAUUUUGCCAUGUCUACUACUUUUCAGCAUUUGUCUCUCUCACUUCAACAGCCGUUCUCCCCUUUCCCUCUCCAGUCAUUCUCUCCCUCCCCUUUCAAUCGCACCGACUCCGAUUCCCGCCGCCCCAGCAGAUCUCCAAAGUUGUGUUGAAGAUACUUAAGCAGCUUAAUUUGCCACUUGAUACUCCAAUUUUGCUUGAAAAAGGAGAUAUUGAUAGGGUAAGCCGACCUUGGGAGAUCCUACCUGCUGGUCACAAAAUUGGGACACCAGAGCCAUUGUUUAAGGAAUUAGUAUAACUCUCCUACUUCUAUGAUUUGUUUUGUGAAUUGUGAUGGAGAUUUUUUGUUUGGAAUUGAGGGCUUUUUGUUUCAUUAUUAAAAUCUGCUCAAGGCUUAAAACAA